UCAACUGUUUUAUUGCACCUCAGAUCUCUAAUUCUGAUUCCCCUCCAGACGACUGUGAAGAAAGGAAUCAUCUCGUACCUAGAUUUGGCGUUCGCACUUGGAGAUUCAUGACAGGCCGCCGUACAGCAUAGAAGACUGUUCACAAGGCUGAUGGUGGCAUUACCUGCGUUCGAAUCACCUCAAGAUAGAAUUGAAAGAAAAUGGAGCAGUGAUGACAUCUUGCACUACACAGAUUUAUGUCCAAUCAGAUGCUCUCUUGAAGGAGAAUGUCCUGCCCCCUUAUGCCGCAUACAACUGACUAGUAAGUAGUAAAUCAUGGCAGUUACGUGGCUAUUUAAAAAAAUUUAAAAAACAGAUUAUCUA
rnacentral:lncRNA from 1 species